AGUGAACGCUGGCGGUAGGCCUAACACAUGCAAGUCGAACGGCAGCACAGUAAGAGCUUGCUCUUACGGGUGGCGAGUGGCGGACGGGUGAGGAAUACAUCGGAAUCUACUUUUUCGUGGGGGAUAACGUAGGGAGACUUACGCUAAUACCGCAUACGACCUACGGGUGAAAGCAGGGGAUCUUCGGACCUUUCGCGAUUGAAUGAGCCGAUGUCGGAUUAGCUAGUUGGCGGGGUAAAGGCCCACCAAGGCGACGAUCCGUAGCUGGUCUGAGAGGAUGAUCAGCCACACUGGAACUGAGACACGGUCCAGACUCCUACGGGAGGCAGCAGUGGGGAAUUUUGGACAAUGGGCGCAAGCCUGAUCCAGCCAUACCGCGUGGGUGAAGAAGGCCUUCGGGUUGUAAAGCCCUUUUGUUGGGAAAGAAAAGCAGCAGGUUAAUACCCCGCUGUUCUGACGGUACCCAAAGAAUAAGCACCGGCUAACUUCGUG
rnacentral:rRNA from 1 species